UGUAGACUGUGUGUCCCGUGCAAUGAUUCAGUGAACAAAUUUGUGUUGUAUGUUUGCACAGGUUUCUGUUACAGCGGUGAUCUCUGACCAGAAUUAUGAAGAAUUUCAAAAAUAGAUGCAAGACUCCGAAGGUCUUGAGCUGUCAGGGCACUGCAGUACCAGUAUGUGCAUAUCAGUUUGCGAUUUACUGACAGCAUCAAAGUGACAUCCAGUUGGUUUGGUGUCAAGUAGGAGGCUCUGGUGGCGUUUCUCUCAACUGACAGCAAUGUUGACAGGAGCUUCAGGUCCAGGCAUCAGGAUGUAGCUGUCGAGGAGGGUGAAAGAUGGUUUGUAGAGAGGCUUCCACUGCUUGGGUAACUUCACCAUCCUUGCCCCAGGUUGUUUUCAUGCUUGGCCACCUCGACACCCUGAAAGCAAAGAGCGUUCCAAGGGCACCAUAAGAACCGAACAACAGUCGGAGAGGUGACGUUCAGAGUAGAAAGUCUAGGGUUUGUCUGGUGACAAUCAAUUGAUGGAAACAUCGACGCCAAUAUAUCCUGCAUUGAAAAACUAUAUCAGAGAGAACAUCUGGAAAAUAUUCUGUAGAGCUUAGGCUUAGGUGCACCCCCUUAUCUAGCCAUCCAUCUCUGCAUCGCGAUUCGUGCAAGAACUUUUCUCUUUUUUGUUUCUUCCAAAUAAAACAACAUAUGAACUUCAAACUUUGCAGCACAACAAAACAUUCUAGCUAGAAUGUGGGAAAAAACUUUCAGAUUUUUUCGUGCAUCAUAAGUACUAAAAAUAACAUUUUUGAAUAAAGAGAAUCUCAUUUUGUAUAUUUAUGUUGGUCAAAAAAAUCUGUAAGUUUUUUCUCUCAUUGUAGUAAGAAUGUUUUGUUAUCUUGCAAAGUUUGAAGUUCAUAUUUUUUUAUUUGGAAGCAACAAAAAAGAGAAAAUUUCACGCAGUAAGUUAGUUGUCUAGCACGGAUCUCAAAGCUAUACUGGAUGGUAUGGAUAGGAGGUGUCCAUGAGCCUAAGCUCUAAAAAUCCACGUCCGAGAACAUCUCAUAGCUGUGCUGUGAUCAGGGCAGUUACAGAGCAAGUGUUCACCAUUUGCAUACUCUGAAAAAAAACACGAGUUCACUGAUAAAUUGGUCUGGCCGGGUCAUGUAAACACAAUGGGCAUGCUCAGGCAUACGUGGGGUGAAUUGGCGCCGAGUGACAAGAAGUAUGUAGUACCUUGGGCUGUUCAAGCAGUUGAAGACGAAAAACGCACUAGUCAAAGGCUAGCCAAGUCCUGAAUGUCCCUGAAGGUUUCUGGUCGAAAUCCUCACCUGAGCAAGACCAUGUGAGCAGCUAAAGCCUUUUUGUCAGAUUGUGGAUUCACUAAUGGCGAUCAUGUGUUCCCUUCUGCGAGGCUUUUGGUUGAGUGAGAAAAACAUCAUGCAAUUCUGAUUAGUUUUUCUUCUGCUGCACUGACAUUGACAUGUGGUGUUUCAGCGAAUGCAGUGGACUUAAAUUAACUGGAUCUAUUUGCUUCAAAAAGAUGAGUCUGGCAAAGUGUCAUGUCAAUGGCAAGGAGCUGGAGGUGCCACGAAGGAAGUGGAGUAGCUGUAGAAGAAGGCAAAGGUAACUGUUGCCGUCUGCUGUCCUCCAUGAGCGGGCAGCUGCGCAGGGCCAUGCCCAUCAUGCUGCCAAAUCUCCGUAUGGCAAAUCUAGGCCGGCCUGGAACAUGACAACACCGGCCAACCGGAUUCCUAGAACAUCAGGAGGAUCAGUUUUCAGUUGCAUCACCAAAAUCUUUCAGAAGAACCUCUUCUGAUGGCCUAGUGCGCAGAUUCUUUCAUCUCGAGAGAAGUGUGAACUGUUUUUCCUCUGAAGCAAUCUGUUAGUUCUCGAACUUAAUUUGCAAUGGUGAUGCUCUCAGCUUGCAGGACAGAGCACUGAAGGGACUUGCAAAACUCAUAUUUAUAUGGUGUUAUCAGUUUCAGAGGCGUGGGGCUAAUAUUUCAACCCUUUUAUCUGGUCUGUUUUUGUCCCAGCAAUAGGAAUUUUAGGCCAUAACAAACCAACGAGUAUAACAUAACUUGCUCAAGAGAAACAUUGUGAAACAAGUUGACUGGACUUUUCUUGGAAAAAUGUAACUGUUUAUCAUCAACCUUUUUGGUUGUGUCGUGGCUACCAUGACAUCCUCUACACCAAGGCGGCCGUCAUCUAGACACGUCUUGGUUACGGCAUCCGUGUGGCCUCGCCGCUAGCCAUUGCCGCUGCAACCGUGCUCUUUGGGUUCUACAGCAAAGAUGGCCAGAGCAUGCCGGACGUGAUUGUCACCUACACCCUGCUGUUGGCUAACUUCUUCCUGGAUAUGAGAUGGUUGUUGAGGGCACUUGGGUCAACCUGGGCGCACGCUUUCCAGAAGUCCAGCUGGCUUCACCAUGUUGUUCUGUGAAGUGGGAGAUGGCGCCGGCUCCCUUGUUUCGUCGUGUCUCUUGAUCUUAGUCGGCUACGCCUUAUGGUGCCUCCGGUACCAAGAGCUACAGAAGGUUGUCAGGCACUGUUGAGCAGAGCAGUACAGCUUGCUGCACGAGUGCAAUCGGAAGAUCAGUGCAUGUGGCAAAUUGGCAAAUGCAAUUGGGUUGGAAGAUAUUUGGAAUGAAUACCAGCACUCCAAAUGACAUAUGCUUUCACAAGAUGUGAAAGCUUUGGUGUUCGAAUGUGUACAGAAGAUACUCAAAUCAAGAUACGAGAUGCAGGACACUGUUCGACUUGAAUAAUAUGCAGUGUGUGAUGCUGCUCUUGUAUGGUUUGUCAUUAUCAUAUUCUAUGCAAGCUAAAUUUUGUACCAGUGGAUCAAGGUCGACCUGACAGUAUUGCAGGUA